GAUGAAGAACGUAGCGAAAUGCGAUACUUGGUGUGAAUUGCAGAAUCCCGUGAACCAUCGAGUCUUUGAACGCAAGUUGCGCCCGAAGCCAUCAGGUUGAGGGCACGUCUGCCUGGGCGUCACAUAUCGUUGCCCAGUGCCUAUUGCAGUGCAAUAGGAAUUUCUAGGGCGAAUGAUGGCUUCCCGUGAGCGUUGUUGCCUCGCGGUUGGUUGAAAAUCGAGUCCUUGGUAGGGUGUGCCAUGGUAGAUGGUGGUCGAGUUAGAACGAUACCGAUCAUGUGCAUGCUCCCCAAAAUAUGGCCUCUAUGACCCACACGCGUCUUUUGACGCUCAUGACGAGACCUCAGGUCAGGCGGGGCUACCCGCUGAAUUUAAGCAUAUCAAUAACGGAGGA
rnacentral:misc_RNA from 1 species